AAGAACUUGACAACAGAUGCGCUGGGUGUGAUUCUUGAGAAAAAGGAAGCACACAAAGUGAGCUCUCUCCAAGGCUACUUUCUAAACCGUGACAUGGGGAAGUGAAACCCAAACCAAGAGCGGUGGCCUUGCUGGACUAAUGAAACCCAUUGAAGGCUGCAGCUGGAAUUGGCGAGCAGGGCCUGAGGUUAUUGGUUCACUUAUGGCCUUAACCCCAGGUUAGCGAAGAGAUAUUCAGCUUUAUAAUCAGAGGAGGGCAACAUGUUCUGGAUCUCAACUUCAUGAGAGAGAACAAGCACAAAAUCUGAGCUUGUAAGGCCUCCAGCCAGGCCUCUCCUUGCUGCUGUGCUCAUCUUGUUGGCUGUGAGUCUCCCGCGGGAUCUGUUCUUAUUCUUGACCCUCCUGGAUAAAAUCAAGAUUUCCCAGAGGAUGUAUUACGGCAAUAAAACUGAACAUUUUUAUAUUUGG